GUGUCGUAGUACAGAAGGAGCAGCACCUACUGUCAGGACUGAGAAGAAGGAACCUUUCUGGCCUUCUUUAUACACUAUAAAUAAGCAAAAAGGGCACAGGACCAAUUGUUAGUUGGUCAUUUAAUGAAGUCAUUUGUUGGUCUCCUUCUUAUGAAAAAGGAUUUUGCUGUGUUUCAAUGAGGCUUUUUUUCUCAACCUUCCAUUAAUAAAGCUUGACAACCCUGUGCACUUGAUGGAGCUUCACAACCAUGUCAGUUCCUGAGGCAGAGACAACAAGAGGAGCCUAUUUGCUGCUGCUUGCUUGCACUGUGAUGGAGGGCACAUCCUGCUUCCAGAAGACCCUCACAGAAGAGAAGAAGUGGCCCACGCUUGAUUGACAGUUAGCCUGGUGAGCUUCUGAUGAUUGUGGGAGAUAUACGCAGUGGUAUGUUAUUAAAGUUCACCUUUCAAAGUAGUUUGGCUGGGGCCAAUUACUGAAUACCAAAAGGCAGACAGCUCUUCUCUGAACACUCUCCAAUUUAUCAACAUCCUUCUUGAAUUGUGGGCACCAGAAUGGACAUUGUAUUCCAGGGGCAGUCACAUCAGUGCCAAAUAUAGAGAGUCUCUGCUUCCCAGGAUAGAGUCCCUCAUUCUGUGGUUCUGUUCUUUUGCUGCUCCUGCCACCCAUGGUGUAAGCAAAUGCUCAGUAGGAGUUGGUUGGACAAAGACGUGCCAUGUGCAAGAUCACCAAAUACUACUGUUAGGGUUGCAAUCCACACCUAAAACUCAAGCCAGAAGCACCAAGAUUUACGAACCUUUCAGCAAGCCUGGGAUGUGUUAUUGAGGUCACCUGCGCCAAUGGCCCUCUCUGGCCAAGAAAAGAAACUAAGGAAAUCACCUUGUAAUUGUACCAGUUCUAUGGCUACAUGGGCUACGUGACUAUCAGUGAAGAGACAACUGAAGAGUUUUUCUGUUCCAAAACCACAGAUCUCUACAUUUAAGCUCAGUUAAGCCUCGACUGGGCUUUUUAGACACAGCCUGGAGCAAGGGGUGGGAUAUAAAUUACACUACGCCAAAAGACAUUGUGCCCAGAGACAUACAAUUUCCUCCCUUCUUCCCCUUUGCUUGGGGUAAGGAGCAAUAACUUGCUAUUUGUUUAUGCCAGCAACAUAUAACACCACCCUUCACACUGGUCAGUGCAUGCGGAGGUUGUCAAUCUACUCUUUCCCCACUUAACCCCAACUUACUUUUCCCUUCAUGCCUGACCCACACAACCCUCCAAGCAGGCCAGUGCUUAAUUUAUAAUGAAAGAGACCCCAGGGCUCAAGCAAUUAGGUGCCAGGGCUCAAGCAAUUAUAUUACACUCAUAACUGAUGCAGCAAGCCCAGAGGUGCUGGAGCUAUGAACUACCACGCCUAGAGGUGCCCGGGCUCAGCCCUGGCAUAUAUUAAGCGCUGAGCCAGGCCAACAGGGCCACACGUUGAGGGCAAAUUCUGCACCUGCCCGAGGCUUGCAGGGCUGGACCUGCUGUGGGGUCACAACUGGCCCAUGGGGCCAGGUACCUGCCCCAGGGUUUGUUCGAGUCUCGCACAGAGACCCGGGGGAAUUUAACCAGGGCAUGGGGUGGCUAAUGUGCAGGAGACCCCAGCCAGGGAGGCCUUCGAAGCCAUAGCCAGAAAUCACCCAGCCUCCAGGGGCUCAGGGCGGGGCUUUUCCACACCCACGUGUGAGUUUCCUGUUGACUAACAGCCGGCCUCGCUCGGUCACAUGAUGUCUCCAGGCCCUCUCCCUACACGGCAGCUGGCAGAGAUGAGCCAAUCAAGUGACCUUGGAGGCUGGGCGAGCUCUACUGCGAGCUGUGCCCCUCAGGGAGAGGCAGGAGCAACAGCUGGGCACUGCAGAGAGGGGCUACUGCUUUCCGCAAGUGGAGACUGAGGGUAAGGGGGGAGGCUGCCCGUGGGUACGGGGCCAGGACUCAAGCUGUUCAGUGGGCGGCUGAACCUUUAAAUUGUAACACCCUUGCUCUCCUUGAUUAGUACCUUACCCCAUAAGAAGAAAAGGAGUACUUGUGGCACCUUAGAGACUAAC